rnacentral:rRNA from 1 species
GACGGAGGAUGCAAGUGUUAUCUGGAAUCACUGGGCGUAAAGCGUCUGUAGGUGGUUUAAUAAGUCAACUGUUAAAUCUUGAGGCUCAACCUCAAAAUCGCAGUCGAAACUAUUAGGCUAGAGUAUAGUAGGGGUAAAGGGAAUUUCCAGUGGAGCGGUGAAAUGCGUAGAGAUUGGAAAGAACACCGAUGGCGAAGGCACUUUACUGGGCUAUUACUAACACUAAGAGACGAAAGCUAGGGUAGCAAAUGGG